CCGGGCAAACUAACUCUUUAAUAAAGUCUAUAAUUGAGUCUAUUCCUCCUUCCGCAAUAUUUCAGUCAGAUUUAAUACUUAAUAAUCUAACAACAACAGACAAACGAGAGUGCAAACACCCGUCAAAAAAAGGAUGACUAAUAGCAUGCAAUUCUUUGUAGAAAUUGUCCGUUUCACUAUUAGGAACAUCUUCAACAGUUUCCUUAAAGCCAACCCCGUGUUGCAUCCCAAAUGCAUCGUGGACCAUUUCUGUCAUCCUAGUAGCUUGAUUUUCAUUAUGCCCUACAGACCUACUACUUUCUCCAACAACAAAGUUAUUUUGCGCAACAUCGCCAUGAAUACUACGCAAUCUUAAGAAGUCC
rnacentral:lncRNA from 1 species